rnacentral:tRNA from 1 species
UGGCGCGAUGCAGCCUGGCUCGCGUGCUUCGUUCGGAACGAAGAGGUCGGAGGUUCAAAUCCUCUCGCCCCGACCA